GUAGCGGUAGUUCAGCUGGUUAGAAUGCCGCCCUGUCACGGCGGAGGUCGCGGGUUCGAGUCCCGUCCGCUGCG
rnacentral:tRNA from 1 species